UGAAGUAAAGUCGUACAAGUUUCGUAGUGAACUGCGGAAGGAUCAUUAAAAAUUGGUGACUGUAAUUUAGGUUAACCCAUUAAUAAUAUCUACCUUUGUGAAUUUGUUUGUUAUGUAAAAUUUUUUGUCUAUCCCUAAAGAAAGGUUGGAUAGUGUAUAGCUUAAAAACUUUUUUAGGGAAUGCUUAAGACUUUAUUUAAAAUUAAACUUUUGUAUUCAUUGUCUAAAAUUAAAUUUUAAAUAAAUAAUUAAAACAACUUUUGACAUGGAUCUUGGUUCUCGCAACGAUGAAGAACGCAGCAAAAGCGAUAAGUAAUGUGAAUGCAGAAUACGUGAAAUCACAAUCUUCGAACGCAUAUUGCACUUUUUAGUUUACUAAAAAAGUAUGUCUGUUUGAGUAUCAGUAAAAUAUUCUCAUAAAUCAUUGAUUUAUGGUAUGAGUGUUUUACAACGAUAAACAGUUGUUUCACUUUAAAUGGAUUUAAUUGAAAUCGUCGGUGGGAACAUUUUAAUUUUUUUAAAAAUUGGAUAAAUUUCCGUAAAAGGAAUAAAGCUAUUUCAGUUUUUAGAAAUUUAAUAGUUUCCAUACCGGUACAGUUAAAGGAAAUUAUUUAUAAUAACUUGAUCUCAAUCAGAUAAGAGUACCGCUGAACUUAAGCAUAUCAUAAGCGGAGGAAAGAAACUAACAAGAUUCCCUUAGUAACGGCGAGUGAAGCGGAAGAGCUCAAAUUUGAAUCUUCAAGGUUCUACCUUGACGAAUUGUAGUUUAAAGAAGUGUUUCUGUAGAGGAGUGGCAAAGUUCUUUGGAAUAGGAAUCAUAGAGGGUGAGAAUCCGUAUUUGGUCAUUCUUUCUAGCUGUGUAUACACUUUCAAAGAGUCGGAUGUUUGGAUGCAGUCCAAAAUGGUGUAAAUUUCAUCUAAAGCUAAUAUUGCGAGAGACGAUAGGACAUACGUGAGGAAAGAUGAAAGAACUUUGAAAAGAGAGUUAACAGUAGUGAAAUUGUCAAAGGGAAGCGUUUGACACAGUGUUGUUUUCCGAAAUCAAUUGUGCCUGGGAUUUUGUAGGAGUUUGACCUUAUCAGCUCUUCUGCUUUUUCGGUUGGUGCAAUGCACUUUUCGUUAACAAGUCACAUCAAUUUCUUUGUUGAAAGGUAAUUGGAAGUGGCUUUCUUUCGGAGAAGGUUUAUAGCCUUUACUCUACAAUCGGAGAGAUGAGUCUGCAGCGUAGAUCUUCGGGUUAGAUACAUUGUGCUAGUUAUAGCCCUGUAUAGACAACUUGUUGACUAUACUCGUCAUGUAGCU
rnacentral:misc_RNA from 1 species